GGGCACCGAGGGGGACGGGGCCUCGGAAGCCGGCAGCGUACCGCGCGGGCAAGAGCGGCUCCGCGGCCUGACGGGGAGGGUGCACAUCCUUAAAGGCGCUCCGUGAAGAGGCCGGAUGAAUCUGCUCCAGUCUCGGCGUCCUAGCUACCGUCCAGAACGUGUCAAAAGGGAGGAUAAGUACAGGUGCGACGGCACUUGACUUCCACCGUGGCCCGGGAUACACUCUCACCGAUGGUGGAAGGUGAGGAGAGAAAGGCCGUGGGGACUUUGAACCUCGGGUACGAGGGACGAUCGCUGCAAGGUUAAAAGAUAGGAGAGAGUCAAUAACAGGCAGUUGGCAAAGUAGAGCUGUCGCCAGUAUUGCAAGGGACCUGUGCCAAUCCGUAUAUUCACCAAUGACCUAGAAAAGGAGGGAGUGGUAACGUGAGGGAGCCUGCUAGGUGAAUUUAAGUUACGCAUUACUCCCUCCCAGCUCAGACCUGUGACACUUAAGUUCUCUGCCGGUGCUGGUGCACGGGGAAGCUACAGCUAAGGAUAGAGUUAAGUGCUCCAGGCAAAGCUGCAGUUGCUUGAGAAUGUGGUUUGGGGACAGAGCGGGUGGGACAGGCAAAGGGGUGCUGUGGCUGGGCUGCCACACAGCAGGGCCCUUAUGCUUCUUUCUCUGGUCCUCUGCGCCAGCCAGCACAGCGAUAGUGGGUCCCAGGUGAGGAGUCCCAGCCUGUGCCUCCCAGCAUCGGCUCAACAGGGAUGAUAAGUGCAGCAGAAGAGGGGGACUGAGAAAGCCAAGGUGGUGGUCACGGUGGGGAAAUCUGCACUUGCCUCUCUCCAUGAGGGCAGCAGUGGUAGUAGAGCCAAGCACAGCUCUGUGGGGUUUCUGCUGUUCUGAUACUGGGGAGAGCAAAGGAUCAAAAAGCCAGGAAAUGGUAUGUUUGCUAGCUCAGCAUAGAAGGAUAGUGUUAAAUAGGGGAAAGACAGGCUGCAAAGGCAGAUGGGCUUGACUGGGAGCAGGUGAGUAAAUGAAAACAGAGAACAACUGAGGGCAUGGCUGUGGGGGAGAAGGAGAACCCAUGCAAUAGGGUGGGUGUAAGAGGGGCAAGUGCUGCAGUACAGGGAAAAUGAUAUAUGUGUGCUUGCUUGUUCUUCCUCUAAAUAACCAAAAGGCAUCAUCAGAAGAAAAUAAGAGGCAAGAAAAGCAGCAGCAAUGGGAAGAGAGAGGACUUUGCUCUAUUUCAUAGGAGUUUCAGACAACAUGCAGUUCCUUUGAGGAAGAUAUGGAGCAUGGCAGACAUUGUACAAGAAUAAUUUUCAGCCUCACUGUAUCACUACACAGUAUGAUCUGACUGAUGACUGCACACAUGGAUCAGCCGAGACUGUAACACUGCUGAGCAAGACAGAUGGGAAAAUGACAUUGAGAAGGCAACACUCGUGCUGCAUAACAAAUUCAAACUUCUUCUUCCAAAACAUGCUGAACUCUCCUAGGAGUAAGAAAAAUGGCCUGGAGGUGGAAGAGGGAAGAGAAUAACAGAUUCAUUCUGAGAAGCAACAAUUUCCUCCAUCCUAAAAACCUGCUUGGAGAUUUGGGAAAUUCGGCAAAGUGGGGAGAAGUUUCCCACUGAGAAGCAAGUGGUCUUUCUGCUGUUUCCACUGAAAAGGGAACCCUCCUCCUUGUUGGCCUUCUGCAACUUGCUGUAUCAUUUCUGCUGAACAAUAUUUCAAAUUUCAAGUUGAAAAGAAUUAGAUGCAACUUUUAUAGCUGCAUUAAGGCCACCUACAAUUGCUAGUAUCUCUGAAGUGGGAUAACACUAUUCCUAUUUAGCUAUAAAAGAAUGGUUACACUGUGGAUUAUUUGUGAAGUUCGUUUGUGCUUUACUAAAAUUGCUUUGCAAAACA